rnacentral:rRNA from 1 species
GGUCACUAAAAUUUUCUACCUUAAUCGCGCGCGUAGCAGUUCGCCCCUCCCCCAUAUUAUCCCCUGCUCCUCUUCCCCCUUUCUCGCCACAGCAGAUCGGAAUCGGAGGUCCUCGGUCAUCCGAUCCACCCGCCCCAGCCAGGUCGUACUCCGCCUCCUCCUCAUCAUCAUCUACGGGAUUCUGCUCGCUGCCUCUAUCGCGACCUUCUCCUCCGUGCCCCAGGCCGCGCGAACGCUGUUCCCCUCCUCACCGACGGGAUCUCAACCGCCGGCCUCACCCGCGAGAGCGCCGCCACCUACCUUAGAGGGAACGGCGCCACCGGCCGCAAGAUCAUCACAGGUUAUUGGGUCAAUGUUAGGCCCCGGGCGGCGAUUUCAUAUGAGCGAAAUAUGAAAUCAAUAGGACACCUACGAGACUGGUUCUGAAAAACAGUAAGUUAAAGGAUGAGGUACGGUCACUAAAGAGGCAACGCGGUGCUUAACGAUGGGGUGCUGGGGCGGAAGCAAUUGGAUACUCUGAGCUGGAGCAGAUGGUAUGCGGUGCUCGACGACCACACGCCGGAGUGCGAGGGAUGAGCCAGAUGCUGGAGCAGAGACGAUGUCGGAUCACGGCCGUGGCGACUGAUCAGCUGGAUCACGGCGCAGACGAUGGACUAGUUUAGCAGAAUUCAAAUUCAUGUAUCAAGGGUAGAAAUGUCCAGUCAUUUCAUUUGCUUGUCCGCUUUACUUUGUUGCAUUAUCACGGGCAGUUUAGUCUUGGCACUUAAUUAGGAUGGCUAAAUUAUAUUUGAGUUUCAUUUGAUGGAUAUUUACUGUGAGAAUUAUGAUUUUUAUGAAUCUACAUAUUAUAUGUAUGGUUUUGAGUAUUGUAAUUGAAUGCUUUUAUUUUUU